GCACGAUUGUCCGAUAGGUUAGGUGGUAGGUUGCAACCCUGCUUAGGUCGGUUCGAUUCCGGCAUCGUGCUCCA
rnacentral:tRNA from 1 species